AUGCAAAAUAUCUGCAAAAAUUAUGGAGGGCCGGGUACAGGAAGCACAGAGACAACUCAGAGCUCAGCAGGACCUUCUCAAAGACAUCAGGUAUGGCAAACCUCUCCAGAUGGCUCUUUGCUACAUCAUAUGUGUAAGUAUGAAAUAUAUCUCUCUAAAUGUUUAUCUCACAGUCAACAGAAGCCGAGCCCUAAAGAAGAGAGUAUCUAUGGGAACUGGAUAAGCACCAUGAGUAUGAUCUGUGAAGACCUCACCACUGUCAACCAGAGUCUCUCAGAUGCGGCGGCCAAGGUGGUCUACCAAAUGAAGAGAGCGAAGAGCGUGAGCGGAAAGCGACAGAGAGUUGCCAUGAUGGAGAACUGAGCUCAGAUAUCACCAAGACUCAUGAGCGGUCAUUUAAAUGUGAAACCAGUCAUAUAGGCUGCUAUAUCAAUCUCAAACUAUGGACAAUGAAUACUGCUUGGAAUAUAUGCAAUAUAAAAUAUAUGCAAACUAUGUGUCGAUAACCUAGAAUCCAGCUGGUUAGUUCCUUGUCAUGCCAUCACUGCUGUAUUUAUCUUUGGCUGACAUUUUUGCGUGAGUAACUUGAAUGUAUGUCAGAUUACCAGCUUAGAUACUAGGGACUGUAUUAAUAAAUAUAAUGCAAUCAAAUAAAACAUGUUUUAUAGAAAUCACAGACUGAUUCAUCUUACUCUUUCUACUUACACCACAUUAAAAUCUUCAAAUCAUUUUAUAAUGUAUGCCGAUUUAAAGGAUAAAGAACUGGUAAAAGUGUGUCAACAGAACCAGCUUUAGUGAUGUACGUGACACAAAUGCCCUGAUCAUUCGCACUCUGUGUUCUUUCUUAUCUCUCUCUCUCUGUUUUUCCCCUAAUGUUAAUGGCAGAUGUAGAGUAGCAUUUGACUUUUGAAAUACUUCUCUUGAAAUGAGGCGAUUCUAUCUGUCUCUCUGCAGACGGUAUGUACCUAGAAACCUGUCGCCAUCUGGUUCUCCCUUAAAAAAACAUCUGUUUUUCUACAGAUUUAACACUACGUCAGGUUUUUCCAUAAUGAGGCUUUGUUUUGUACAUAUGACCUCUGGUUUACCCCACAAACUGACCGCACUUUAAAGAACUUUAAUUCAGUCAUGAUCAGCUCCAGAUCUCUGUAGAAUCACAGGUUUUGCAGUGUUAUUUAUACAUUCAUUCAUCAUUUUAUUUCAGCUGCCGGUGAGCAUGUUGAACUGUCAUCUCAGUUUAACAUGCUUUACAAUAUUCAAAUUCAUUUAACAGAAUUCCACCAUAUUCUACCCAAAAAAAAAAAAAAAAAAAAGAAAAAUAAUAAAUACUCCAAAAACAAAAAAAAUAAAAAAAAAAAAUAAAAUACAUAAAAAAAGUUUCAAACAAAUGAUGCAAAACCUUUUCUCAGAAGAAAUUUUGUGGUCACGCUUUAUUUUAAGGUCCAAGUCCUGUUAUUAACAAACCAUUAACUAUGACUUUUGCCUCAAUAAACUCCUAAUUUGCUGCUUAUUAAUAGUCAAGGUAGUUGUUAAAUUUAGCUAUUGGAUAGGAUUAUGGAUUUACAACAUGUGCUUCAUAAGUACUAAUAAACAGCCAUUAUGUUAAUAAUAGGAAUGCUAAUAAGCAACUAGUUAAGAGUGAGAAUUAGUCUAAUACUGAAAUGUAGUAGUCCAAUUUUUCUGAAUUUUAGCAAUGACUUUUAUCCAACUGGUGUC
rnacentral:lncRNA from 1 species